GCAACAUUUAUAAUCUUUACCAUGCUUGCUCUCACAAUUUGGAUUCCCAUCUAUGAUCGAAUCCUGGUUCCAUUUCUUCAGAGACUAACUGGCAAAGAAGGUGGAUUCACACUUCUCCAAAGAAUGGGGAUUGGAAUCCUUCUUUCAGUUCUUUGUAUGUUCGUUUCUGGAUUGGUUGAAUCACACAGAAGACAUCUUUCUUUUACUAAGCCAACUCUAGGAAUUUCCCCGAAAGGUGGUGCUGUAUCAUCAAUGUCUUGGAUGUGGCUAGUGCCUCAACUUUCACUUGCUGGACUUUCUGAGGGCUUCAAUUAUGUUUCCCAGAUUGAGUUCUACUACAAACAAUUCCCUGAAAACAUGAGAAGUAUUGCAGGAUCUUCCUUCUUUGCUGGCCUAGCGCUAGCAAAUUUUCUCAGUGGUUUCCUUGUUUCCACCAUCCACAAGGUUACUGCAGCAACUAAAUCAGGAGAUUGGUUGUCUGAGGAUCUUAACAAGGGGAAAUUGGAUCAUUUCUAUUAUGUAAUUGGUGUUUUAGGGAUACUAAACUUGGUAUAUUUUCUGCUAUGUUCUAAGUGGUACAGAUAUAAAGUUCGUGAGGAUGAUGGGACUGUGGAGAUGUCCAAGAAAACAAAGGAAUCAGUGAGGCACCAUGUGUGAAAUGGGCUUAUACAGUCUCUUGAAAUCUGCAGUAUCAUAAAGGAUAAUUUCUCUUUGAUUUGCUGCUUCAUACAUAAUAUUUUCAUGUUUCCUCUUGUAUUUGCGUACAUCAGAAUUUAAACAAGAUUUUGUUCCUUCCCUGUAUCAAUGCAGAUAAAUUAGUCCUGCUGCUUCGGCUUAUUUUGUCUUUGAGAUGGAAGAAUAAUUCUUAAUUCUCAUUCAUGAAAAUAUUAUGUAUGAAGCAGCAAA
rnacentral:misc_RNA from 1 species